rnacentral:rRNA from 1 species
UGCAGUCGAACGAUGAAGCCCUUUCGGGGUGGAUUAGUGGCGAACGGGUGAGUAACACGUGGGCAAUCUGCCCUUCACUCUGGGACAAGCCCUGGAAACGGGGUCUAAUACCGGAUAACACUCCCCCCCGCAUGGCGGGGGGUUGAAAGCUCCGGCGGUGAAGGAUGAGCCCGCGGCCUAUCAGCUUGUUGGUGAGGUAGAAGCUCACCAAGGCGACGACGGGUAGCCGGCCUGAGAGGGCGACCGGCCACACUGGGACUGAGACACGGCCCAGACUCCUACGGGAGGCAGCAGUGGGGAAUAUUGCACAAUGGGCGAAAGCCUGAUGCAGCGACGCCGCGUGAGGGAUGACGGCCUUCGGGUUGUAAACCUCUUUCAGCAGGGAAGAAGCGAAAGUGACGGUACCUGCAGAAGAAGCGCCGGCUAACUACGUGCCAGCAGCCGCGGUAAUACGUAGGGCGCAAGCGUUGUCCGGAAUUAUUGGGCGUAAAGAGCUCGUAGGCGGUCUGUCACGUCGGAUGUGAAAGCCCGGGGCUUAACCCCGGGUCUGCAUUCGAUACGGGCAGACUAGAGUGUGGUAGGGGAGAUCGGAAUUCCUGGUGUAGCGGUGAAAUGCGCAGAU